UACAGAGGUGCCAAGCGUUAGGCGGAAUCACUGGGCUUAAAGCGCGCGUAGGCGGAUGUUUAAGUGUCUUGUGAAAUCCCACGGCUCAACCGUGGAACUGCUGGGCAUACUGGACAUCUCGAGGCACUCAGGGGCGAGCGGAACAAGUGGUGGAGCGGUGAAAUGCGUAGAUAUCACUUGGAACGCCAAUGGUGAAGACAGCCUCGCUGGGUGUCCUGACGCUGAGGCGGGCGAAAUCCAGG
rnacentral:rRNA from 1 species